CUUAGUGGCGGACGGGUGAGUAACGCGUGGGUAACCUGCCUCACACUGGGGGAUAACAGUUAGAAAUAGCUGCUAAUACCGCAUAAGCGCACGGUUCCGCAUGGAACAGUGUGAAAAACUCCGGUGGUGUGAGAUGGACCCGCGUCUGAUUAGCCAGUUGGCGGGGUAACGGCCUACCAAGCCGACGAUCAGUAGCCGACCUGAGAGGGUGACCGGCCACAUUGGGACUGAGACACGGCCCAAACUCCUACGGGAGGCAGCAUG
rnacentral:rRNA from 1 species